rnacentral:rRNA from 1 species
GUAGUCAUAUGCUUGUCUCAAAGAUUAAGCCAUGCAUGUCUAAGUAUAAGCAAUUACACAGCGAAACUGCGAAUGGCUCAUUAUAUAAGUUAUCGUUUAUUUGAUAGUACCUUACUACUUGGAUAACCGUGGUAAUUCUAGAGCUAAUACAUGCUAAAAAUCCCGACUUCGGAAGGGAUGUAUUUAUUAGAUUAAAAACCAAUGCCCUCCGGGGCUCACUGGUGAUUCAUGAUAACUCCUCGAAUCGCAUGGCCUUGCGCCGGCGAUGGUUCAUUCAAAUUUCUUCCCUAUCAACUUUCGAUGUUUGGGUAUUGGCCAAACAUGGUUGCAACGGGUAACGGGGAAU